UAAGGAAUAUUGCACAAUGGGCGAAAGCCUGAUGCAGCAACGCCGCGUGGGUGAUGAAGGCCUUCGGGUCGUAAAACCCUUUUCUGGGGGAAGAGCAAGGACGGUACCCCAGGAAUAAGCACCGGCUAACUACGUGCCAGCAGCCGCGGUAACACGUAGGGUGCAAGCGUUAUCCGGAUUUACUGGGCGUAAAGCGCGCGCAGGCGGCAUCGUAAGUUGGACGUGAAAUCUUUCGGCUUAACCGGGAGGCGCCGUUCAAGACUACGUUGCUCGAGGGCAGAAGGGGGGAGUGGAAUUCCCGGUGUAGUGGUAAAAUGCGUAGAUAUCGGGAGGAACACCAGUGGCGAAGGCGACUCCCUGGUCUGCACCUGACGCUGAGGCGCGAAAGCGUGGGGAGCGAACGGGAUUAGAUACCCCGGUAGUCCACGCCGUAAACUAUGGGUACUGGGUGUGGGGAGUAUUGUAUCUCUCUGUGCCGAAGCUAACGCGUUAAGUACCCCGCCUGGGGACUACGGCCGCAAGGUUA
rnacentral:rRNA from 1 species